rnacentral:snRNA from 1 species
GUGAUCUCUUAGGCAGCAUAAAUACUAAAAUUAGAAUGAUAGAGAAGCAAUUAACAUGGCCCCUGAGCAAGGAAGGCAUGAAAAUUCAUGAAGAAUUCUAUGUUUUU